rnacentral:rRNA from 1 species
UCCUACGGGGGGCAGCAGUGGGGAAUAUUGCACAAUGGGGGAAACCCUGAUGCAGCGACGCCGCGUGAGUGAGGAAGUAUUUCGGUAUGUAAAGCUCUGUCAGCAGGGAAGAAAGCAAUGACGGUACCUGACCAAGAAGCCCCGGCUAACUACGUGCCAGCAGCCGCGGUAAUACGUAGGGGGCAAGCGUUAUCCGGAAUUACUGGGUGUAAAGGGAGCGUAGACGGCUGUGCAAGUCUGGAGUGAAAGGCGGGGGCCCAGCCCCCGGACUGCUCUGG